rnacentral:misc_RNA from 1 species
AGAUCAUCAUUAUCAUCAUUACAGCCUAUACAGUCCACUGCUGGAUAUAGGCCUCCACAAGUUCGCGCCAAAAAUGCGUGAACUCAUGUGUGUUGCCCAUAGUCACCACGCUGGGCAGGCGGGUUGGUGACCGCAGGGCUGGCUUUGUCGCACCGAAGACGCUGCUGCCCGUCUUCGCCUGUGUAUUUCAAAGCCAGCAGUUGGAUGGUUAUCCCACCACCG